rnacentral:tRNA from 1 species
UAUAGCUCAAUGGUAGAGCACAUAUUUGCCAUGUGUGAGACCAUGGGUUCAAUGCCCAAUA